rnacentral:lncRNA from 1 species
GAUUGUUAUCAAACAAAUAUUGCUUAUUAGCACACAACCCCAAAUCUUAACAUGCUUAAGAUUUGUCUUUUUUUCCAACUACAUCUUAUGGAGUCAUGAAAAAUUUGGAAGAUCUUCUAAUUGACAAUCAUAUUGUUUUUAGAAGUAUAUAUCCUAUAUAUGGGUAAUAGAUAACAUCCAACGAACUAAAUCUUAUUUAAGUUCGUUCUUCUCCUUAUGUAGAAAUCUAUUAUCUUAUGAUGCUUAUUUCCUUGAUAUCUUUCAAGGAAACUGUUCUAAAGUGUUACCUUUUCCUUG